AUGGCACAGUUAUGCCAUUACUACAGCAAAACUAGAAUUAAAAGCAAAAGAAAAAUAACAAACCUUAAGAAAUAGUUGACCAGUCCUUGGAUUGAAAAUAAAGAUUGCACCAUUUAUUGGUUUGGUGGUCAGGUUACCUUCAAAGGUUUUGUGAAUGGUAACACGAUAGACAUUUGUGUCAUCCACAAACCAUAUGAUUUGGUUGCUGAAUAUCUCUCCAUAAUUCUGUGA
rnacentral:rRNA from 1 species